rnacentral:rRNA from 1 species
AGCUCCAAGAAUACGCGGAGGAGGUGGCCCGGGUUGGCGUCGGCGCCGUCCGGCGCGGGCCACGGGCCCGCUUCCAAGUGCGUCUGCGCGCCGGCCACCCAUGCCGGGUCCUUCAAGUGCCGCUUCCACCGCACCAACUCCCAGGGCCACGGCCACGGACAGGGCCAGGGAAGCCGCCCUUCUUCACCCCUUUCACCGCCCGCGGCCAACGCGGUGCCGCGGCACCCGGCCUCGCCGUCCUCGUCCUCCGGCACCGUCGCGACCCAGUGA